rnacentral:snRNA from 1 species
AUCACUUUUUUGACAUUUUCGAUAAGAAUUUCUGUUCUUAUCAGCUUAAUAUCUGAUAUGUUAGGCAAUGCCUAACUCAUAUAUUAAACUGAUUUUUGGACUUUGGCCAUGGGAUUGAAGCUUGCUUCGCCCUGGCCACGGGUUGUCUCGGUAUUGCACUACAUCCGAGUACGGCCCCUUCCCC